rnacentral:RNase_P_RNA from 1 species
AUGGAUGGUUGGAUGGCUACGUGCGCAAAAGUGUACGAGGAAAGUCCGAACACCCGCCACGUUGCAAGACGUGGUGACAAAGAGAAUCGCUAACGGCGAUCGGGUAUACGAAUUGGGAGUCGAAGCAUUGGAGAAAUUCGUGCUCUGGUUCCUGACUCAAAGCCUAGGGAAAGUACCACAGAGACAAUACUAGCCUCGUGAAAGCGGGGUGAAAGGUGAAAAGUGAGGUGAGGUCGAGCAAUCGGCUACAUCUCUCGCUCCAUGGCGACAUGGAAGCGUGGUAAACCCUCAUCUGGUGAAAGAGCAAAUUUGGUAGCUCGAUUGAAUCGUCCAGCAAUGGACGACCAAGAUAGAUUGCCAUCAGCCCAGCUCAGCUGGGUCCACAAAAUUCGGCUUACAGACCACUCCCUAAG